GGGGUCGUAGCUCAAUUUGGUUAGAGCAUCGCCCUGUCACGGCGAAGGUUACGGGUUCGAGCCCCGCCGACCCCG
rnacentral:tRNA from 1 species